UGGAAGAUAAAAGUGUUUGCUAUGAUGUUAUUUGUUUUCUUCUUCGGGACUUUAGUGUUAAUGGAGACACAGUAUAAUAAAAUUAGAAUGUUAGCGUUGCUUUCUGCUCCUCAACUUCAAAACCCCAAAAUUGCGUUUUUGUUUAUAGCUCGGAAUCGUCUGCCUUUGGACAUUGUUUGGGAUGCCUUCUUUCAGGGUGACAAGGAAAAUAGAUUUUCAAUCCUGGUUCACUCACGACCAGGGUUCUUAUUGAACAAAGUAACGACAAGAUCAGCGUAUUUCUUGAAUCGCCAAAUG
rnacentral:misc_RNA from 1 species